AACGAACGCUGGCGGCAUGCCUAACACAUGCAAGUCGAACGAGACCUUCUGGUCUAGUGGCGCACGGGUGCGUAACGCGUUGGAACCUGCCUUUAGGUUCGGAAUAACUCAGAGAAAUUUGAGCUAAUAACGGAUGAUGUCUUCGGACAAAAGAUUUAUCGCCUUUAGAUGGGCCCGCGUUUGAGUAGCUAGUUGGGGGGGUAAAGGUCUACCACGGCGAAGAUCCAGAGCUCGUCUGAGAGGAUGAUCAGACACACUGGGACUGAGACACGGCCCAGACUCCUACGGGAGGCAGGAGUGGGGAAUAUUGGAAAAUGGGAGAGAGCCUGAGCCCGCAAUGCCGCGGGAGUGAUGAAGGCAUUAGGGUUGUAAAGCUCUUUUACCCGAGAAGAUAAUGACAGUAGCGGGAGAAUAAGCUUCGGCUAACUCCGUG
rnacentral:rRNA from 1 species